rnacentral:rRNA from 1 species
UGUCUGGGGAUGGGCCUGCGGCUGAUUAGCUAGUUGGUGAGGGUAAUGGCCCACCAAGGCGAGGAUCAGUAGCUGGCCUGAGAGGGCGGCCGGCCACAUUGGGACUGAGACACGGCCCAGACUCCUACGGGAGGCAGCAGUGAGGAAUCUUCUGCAAUGGGCGCAAGUCUGACAGAGCAACGCCGCGUGGAGGAAUAAGGCCACUCAAGGCUGUAAACUCCUUUGCACGGGCACAGGAAGGCUGACCGCCCGGGAAGCAAGCAUCGGCUAACUCCGUGCCAGCAGCCGCGGUAAUACGGGGGAUGCAAGCGUUAUCCGGAUUUACUGGGCGUAAAGCGUCUGUAGGCGGUUCGGUGUGUCUGUUGUCAAAACGCAGGGCCUAACUCUGUGGGGCAUCUGGAUACUAUCGAACUAGAGGGCGGUAGAGGUGGGGGGAACCCCUCGAGGAGCAGUGAAAUGCUUUGAUACGUGGAGGAAGGCCGGAGGCGAAGGCUCCCCACUGGGCCGCACCUGACGCUGAGAGACGAAAGCUAGGGGAGCGAAUGGGAUUAGAUACCCCAGUAGUC